UAUAUACAUAUUAUAAGACCCCUGUCGUAACCCCUAUCGUAACUCCUAUCGUAACUCCUAUCGUAACUCCUAUCGUAACUCCUGACGUAUAAAAACAUGAACGUUAACACGUUUGAAAACACCUUAAAUUUACUGGUAAAAGAAGAUUUUAAUUAUGAAAAAAAAUAUAUACAAAACAACAGUUGUGCAUUAAACAUGAAUUAUUCAACUGGUAAAAUAAAAAAUGUAGCUUGUAACUCGUUACCAAAAAUACAAAAUAAUAAUAACAUAUUAUAUAGUAAAGAGUUAUGCGAAAAAGACAUUAAAUAUGAGGAUGAAAUACAGCUUAAUCAAAAUGAAAUAAUUGAUAAUGUACAAUAUGAACAAAAAAAUAUACAUACACAUGCACAGGAAAUAAAAUAUAAUCAAAGUGGUACGAAUAUUCACAGUAAUCAUAGUAUCCCUAAGAAAUCUAUAACUCCAACAAAUAAUAUAAAUAUUAAUACUAAUAUAAAUGUAUGUAAUAAUAUAAUAAAUGAAACAAAUAAAAAUGAAAAUAUUAAUUUAUUUUGUCAAAAUAAAAAUGAAAAUAUUAAUUUAUUUUGCCAAAAUAAAAAUUCAACUACUAUUGAUACCAGUAAAACACGAUACAACAGUUUAAACAGUAUUUUCCAAUUCAAUAGUGAUACAAAUACAUACGAAUCGCUCAGUCCAUUUUCAGAUAAUAUAAAUUAUGAAUAUACAGAAAACAAAAAAAAAAACAUAUCUUGUGAUGAUUUAUACAACGAAUUAAAUGUAGAAAAUAAAAAAAUAGAUGACAUAUUAUAUAUAAAUAAUAAUAAAACAGAAAAUAUAUAUGAAUAUAAUCAAUUUGAUGAUAAUACCAAAAAUAAUGUUUUUGUUGGAAACGAUUCUGUUCAGAAGGAUUAUAUUCAGAAGGAUUAUAUUCAGAAGGAUGGAGAUAAUAUGUGUCAUAAUAAUAGUGACAUAAUUCAAUGUAGUGUUAAUAACAAUACGAACCAAUCUAAUCAAUUUUUAUAUGAUUAUAGUAAGGAAGGGAACGACAUUAAAAGUGUAAUACCAGCUGUAGUAAUAGUAGGAGAGACAACAGUACCAACAACUAUAGCACCACAAAUAGUACCAGUAACGGAACCCACCACAUAUUAUAGCCUAAGACAAAGAAAAAUCGAAGAAAAAAAAGCAAUAAAAGAAAGAAAAAUGAAAAGAAUGCUUGCUGCUGAAUUAAGAGAAAAAAUAAAAGAAGAGAAAAGGGCAGCAAGAGAAUAUAGAAGAUUGGAAAAANNNNNNNNNNNNNNNNNNNNNNNNNNNNNNNNNNNNNNNNNNNNNNNNNNNNNNNNNNNNNNNNNNNNNNNNNNNNNNNNNNNNNNNNNNNNNNNNNNNNAAAAAAAAAAAAAAAAAAAAAAAAAAGUCGAAGGAAGGAUUUAUAAAGUCGUAGUAAGAGGUAAAGAAUGUUGGAGAGCAGAAUGGCUAGUUAAACAAAAAGAAAAUAUAAAUAUAAAUGCGUAUAAUAAUAAAAAUGACGAAUUGAAAAAAAAUAAUGAUAAAGAUACAAAACCUGUCAUGAUAAAAAAGAGUAAACAGUUUUCAGUUUCAGUAUAUGGACAUGAAAAUGCUAGAUUAUUUUCAAUUUUUGAAUUAAUAAAAUAUAAUUCUGUACCUGACCGUUUAAAAAAUGAAGCUAAUAUAUGUAUACAAAAAAUAAAAAAAAAUAUUGUAAAUUCAGGAAAUUUUACUAAUAAAUCUUUUAGUAACAAUUUUCUUCAAUUUAUAUUGGCUGGUGAAAAUUGCGAAAAUUAUUUGAGAAAUGGCAAUGAAAUGGGGUCAUAUUUGAUAAAAAAAUUAAGCGAAAAUUACACUUGCAAUAACAAAGAUUCUUAUGAUAAAGACGAUUCUUGUAAUAAAGACGGUUUUUGUAAUAAAGACGGUUUUUGUAAUAAAGACGGUUUUUGUAAUAAAGACAGUUUUUGUAAUAAAGACAGUUUUUGUAAUAAAGACAGUUUUUGUAAUACGGAUGAUUCAUAUGAUAAAGAUGGUUCAUGUAAUAACGACGAAUUCUAUAAUAACAACGGUUUUUGUUACAAUGAGAGUUUUGAUAAUAACAAUAAAUUUUAUCAUGAUGGUGAUGGUACAUUACAUAAAGAAACUGAUUGUACUAAUGUACCAUUUUUAUAUACCAUGUCAAAUAAUAAUAUGAACAACAAUGACAUGAACAGUCAUAACAAUGUGAAUAACAAUAUGAGCAAUAGUAAGAAUAUGAACAGUAGUAAUAAUAAUAACUUUUCAAUGGAUAAACAAAAUGAAAUGUAUGUAUAAAAAAGUAAACAAAAAAUCACGACUAAUUUGCUUACUAAUGAGUUAAUAGAUACAAAUUAUUUAUCUUAUAAUAAUAACCCUGGUCUUAAUGUAGUUCAUAAUAAUAAUACUCUCAAGUUGAAAUAUGAAGGUAAAUAAAACAUGACACAUAAAACUUACA
ensembl:lncRNA